rnacentral:rRNA from 1 species
UACGUAGGGGGCAAGCGUUGUCCGGAUUUAUUGGGCGUAAAGAGCGUGUAGGCGGCUUUGCAAGUCCGUUGUGAAAACUCGAGCUCAACCUCGAGACGCCGGUGGAAACUGCAAAGCUAGAGUCCGGAAGAGGAGAGUGGAAUUCCUGGUGUAGCGGUGAAAUGCGGCAGAUAUCAGGAAGAACACCCGUGGCGAAGGCGGCUCCUCUGG